GACGAACCGUGCGAACGUUGUUCGGAUUCACUGGGCUUAAAGGGCGCGUAGGCGGACGGUCAAGUCAGGGGUGAAAUCUUUCAGCUCAACUGGAAAAGUGCCUUUGAUACUGAUCGUCUCGAGGGAGGUAGGGGCAUGUGGAACUUCCGGUGGAGCGGUGAAAUGCGUAGAUAUCGGAAAGGAACGCCGGUGGCGAAAGCGACGUGCUGGACCUCUUCUGACGCUGAGGCGCGAAAGCUAGGGGGAGCAAACGGG
rnacentral:rRNA from 1 species